rnacentral:rRNA from 1 species
UACGUAGGGUGCAAGCGUUAAUCGGAAUUACUGGGCGUAAAGCGUGCGCAGGCGGUGAUGUAAGACAGGUGUGAAAUCCCCGGGCUUAACCUGGGAACUGCAUUUGUGACUGCAUCGCUGGAGUGCGGCAGAGGGGGAUGGAAUUCCGCGUGUAGCAGUGAAAUGCGUAGAUAUGCGGAGGAACACCGAUGGCGAAGGACAAUCCCCUGGCCAAUACUGACGCUCAGGCACGAAAGCGUGGGGAGCAAACAGG